rnacentral:rRNA from 1 species
GAGGUCAAGCAAAUCCCAUAAAGUUGUUCUCAGUUCGGAUUGUAGUCUGCAACUCGACUACAUGAAGCUGGAAUCGCUAGUAAUCGUAGAUCAGCAUGCUACGGUGAAUACGUUCCCGGGUCUUGUACACACCGCCCGUCACACCACGAGAGUUUGUAACACCCGAAGCCGGUGGAGUAACCUUUUAGGAGCUAGCCGUCGAAGGUGGGACAAAUGAUUGGGGUGAAGUCGUAACAAGGUAGCCGUAUCGGAAGGUGCGGCUGGAUCACCUCCUUUCUAAGGA